AGAGGGAGCGAGAGAGAAGGAGAGAGAGAAAGAAGGUGUGGGGGUGAGCCGGACUGCAGCGAUUAUUCCUCCACUAUGGCCAGAUUGGUUUUUUUCUGCAGCAAUAAUCCCCCCGUGUGGCACUGCAGGACAGAGAGGACAGACCAGCCAUGUGUGGACUAUGGGGGGGACCAGCUUUUCUCUUUUUGCCUCCGAAUAAGGAUGCUCUGUUGAACAUUGAGGUACAGUCAAAAAGGAAGAAGGCUGUGCGGUCUGCAGCCCGGCCGUCCUCCAGCCGCUCCACCCUCCAACACCAGUCAGUGGGUCAACGAGAAACAGUUGAAAGAGAGUCAAAUUAUCAACAGGAUCAAAGGGGACCAUCACUGCUUCAUGGCAAGAAAAGCAGGAAGGGCUUCCCGAAGAGAACUACUGAAACCCCUCGAGUUUCUGCUGAGAAUAUAGUUUUGUGAAUUGGAUACAGCACUAUCAGAGCAGCGGAAACUCCACGGACAGGGCUGGACUCCUGUUCUGAGCUUCGGCCAGAACGCCCGGACCGACGGGGUCUGCAAAUGGACAGGGAAUAACAUGAAAAGCCUGGCACCAGCCCAAGGGAAAAGGACACCAAAGCAGGUAACAGUUCUCCGCAGCACCACGACCAGGUGAGUUAUACGAGCAAACAAUGAUUUGGAGUCAGUGACGUGGAAAUUUUUGUUGCAAAUGAAUGAAAGCACGUUGCUUUGAUCCUGGAGCUCCACUGGGUUGAGAAUCUGAAAUACAAGCUCGUGGAGUUAAAGGCAUGUGAGCAAAGCCCUUUGGGUGUCACCCAGGUGUAAAUGGAGCCAGCAGCCGACAGCUCAUCUUAAAGUAACAGCCAAAUUCUAUGUUAUAGAUAAACAAAAGGCAGGUGCACUAUCAGUGCUGGAAUUCUGCAUCUCCACAGGGUGCACUCUCUGCUCCACUAUUUCAGAUGGCAAACAAACUUUAAAAGCUGAAGAAUAUUGUUACAGUUAGGAAAAGAUUAUGAAAAUCAUAUCUGCAAUAUAGAAAAUUAUUUUAAUAUUUGACAUGAAAAUCUUUUGCAUGUAUGUUUGUUUCUAUACAGCAUACUACACUUCCUUUUCAGAUUACCAUUUGAAAAUACACUUCAGUUGAAGAGUGCUCUGAUGGUGAAAAUCCACAGCUGUAUUAAUAAAAGCUGAUGCAUAAAAAUGCUGGAGAAAAAGCCUCCUAUUCACCAUUUUAAAAGAAGGCAAAGAUUUUUAUAGGAUGUUUUUCCUUAGCAUGCUUUCAGCUUUUGUUAGAAGAAAUACAGAGUUAGGGCACAGACCUGCUCCCAUUUACACUAACGGUGAGAUUACCACUAAUGCUAAUGCAAGUAUUUCAGUUGACAUCUUCUUAGCAUCUUAAAUACUUGUGCUUUGGGAACAAGACCAAACCAAAGGAAGCUGGUGAAUGACUUUGUGCAGCAUUCUUGAAAGAUGUGUUGUAACAAAUGUGUUAUUUUGAAUUCCUUUUCAAUACCAGAAAAGAGAUGCAUACAACUGUGUGUUAAUAUGCCUUGAAAUGAACAUGCUAGCAUUUCUCAUUUCUCUUAAAAGCAAUUUGGUAAGUUAAAAUUGUUGGGAUACGCACAUGUAGAAACAUACACCUAAAACUUCCUCCUACAUUAAUUCAGGUGUUGUGAUUUGUCAAAUAAUAAGGAAAUGUUGCAGAAUUUACUUGAUUGAAAUGCUCUAGAAAUGAGAACACUGUAGAUCAGCAACAUGUAGAUUUUUGAUGUCUUCCCAAUUUUUUGUCCUUGUGUGGCCAAAGAACCCUCAAUAUUUGUUAGAAACCGCUAAACUACUUCUGGAAAUGUGCAGCACCCUCAGCUCCAGCUGAAAACACCGGUUACCGGGGUCAGGAACAUCACCAGAUUCAGCCUAAACCAAACCAAAGCAGACCAGAGGAUUUAAGAGAACUGUCAUAUGUAUUGCAAUGUGUCAAAUAUAGUAAACAGGAGAAAAAAAAAGAAAA